rnacentral:rRNA from 1 species
UACGUAGGCAGCGAGCGUUGUUCGGAAUUACUGGGCGUAAAGAGUGUGUAGGCGGUGCUCUAAGUUCGGUGUGAAAUCUCUGCUUAACUGGGAGGGUGCGCCGGAAACUGGGGUGCUCGAGCGUGGGAGAGGAAAGCGGAAUUCCUGGUGUAGCGGUGAAAUGCGUAGAAUAUCGAGGAGGACACCUGUGGUGUAAGACACUUUCUGGGACC